AUUGAACGCUGGCGGCAGGCCUAACACAUGCAAGUCGAGCGGAUGAAGGGAGCUUGCUCCUGGAUUCAGCGGCGGACGGGUGAGUAAUGCCUAGGAAUCUGCCUGGUAGUGGGGGAUAACGUCCGGAAACGGGCGCUAAUACCGCAUAAGUCCUGAGGGAGAAAGUGGGGGAUCUUCGGACCUCACGCCCUCAGAUGAGCCUAGGUCGGAUUAGCUAGUUGGUGGGGUAAAGGCCUACCAAGGCGACGAUCCGUAACUGGUCUGAGAGGAUGAUCAGUCACACUGGAACUGAGACACGGUCCAGACUCCUACGGGAGGCAGCAGUGGGGAAUAUUGGACAAUGGGCGAAAGCCUGAUCCAGCCAUGCCGCGUGUGUGAAGAAGGUCUUCGGAUUGUAAAGCACUUUAAGUUGGGAGGAAGGGCAGUAAGUUAAUACCUUGCUGUUUUGACGUUACCAACAGAAUAAGCACCGGCUAACUUCGUG
rnacentral:rRNA from 1 species